rnacentral:tRNA from 1 species
GCUCAGCUAGCUCAGUCACUAGAGCAUGAGACUCUUAAUCUCAGUUAAGAUUCAUGGGUUCAAACUCCAUGUUGGACA